rnacentral:misc_RNA from 1 species
CAUUCUGAAGGAACUUGUAAGGAAGUCAAUAGCUGAAACAGAGGAGCUGAAGAGAUUUCCUACUCUUCAAUCUGACAUUGCUGCUGCAGCAAAUGAAGCUUUGGAAAGAUUCCGUGAUGAAAGCAGAAGAACAGUUUUGAGGCUUGUGGUGGAGUCUAGCUAUCUUACAGUGGAAUUUUUCCGGAAGAUUCACCUUGAAGGGGAGAAGAACACAAACACAAACUCAAACUCAAAUUCAAAUGCAUCAGGCCCA